GCCCAGGGCGGCCGGGCCCACGACGCCGAAAGCGCCGCUGCGGUUGCCGCCUCGGAGGCUCCCCCGGGCCCCGGCGGCUGGACCCGGCGCGGGCGGGAGCCUCGGGCGGGCGGUCUGGCCCGGGACUCGGGUUUGGGCGACCAGGAGGCGCCGGUGGCCGCGCUCGGACCCGGUUCUCCAACGGAGGAGCUUUUUAACCUCUUUCCGGUGAGGUGGGAACUCAUCUUCAUGAUCGAAUUUAAAAGAACAAUGGAACCCUGACUACGUUUCAACAAAAAUAAAACUUGUUUUUUUCCCUCCUAUUGGGUGUUGGCUUUUAACUCUUUCAAAGCCGAUUCUGAAACGGCUGCAGUGAUAACAUGCGAAGGUGACUUAAGAGGUUAAAAUUAAUUUGGUUGCUGAUGGUUCUGAACAAAUAGAGUUCUUUUAUUUGAGGUAUGCCAUUUUGAAGACUGAGACAUUGGAGUUUUAUCCUAGAGGAUAAAGGAA
rnacentral:lncRNA from 1 species